GUAUAUGUUGCAGAGUUAGCAGCUAUUCACUGGGCUUUGAAUAGUAUCGCCACACGACCUAUUGAACACUACUAUAUUAUAACUGAUAGUCUCAGCUCUGUUGAAGCAAUCCGCUCUAUAAAACCAGGAAAAUUCACGCCGUACUUCCUCGAAAUGAUACGAGAUAUAUUGACCACUUUAUCAAGACGUUGCUUUUCUAUCACCUUUAUCUGGGUCCCCUCACAUUGCUCUAUAGCAGGCAAUGAGAGGGCAGAUUCCCUUGCAAAAGUGGGUGCGAUGGAAGGCAACAUUUACCAGCGUGAAAUCGUAUUCAACGAAUUUUACUUCUUGGCUCGAAGAAACUCUCUUGUCAACUGGCAGCGUAGAUGGGACGAGGAUGAGUUGGGUCGGUGGUUCCACUCGAUUAUCCCAAAGGUAAGCCUUAAACCCUGGUUUAAUAGAUUGAACCUGACUCGGGAUUUUAUUCGUAUAUUUUCCCGUCUCAUGUCCAAUCAUUAUUCCAUGAAUGCGGUACUCUAUCGUUUAAAUAUUGCUGGCAGCAAUUUAUGCGGAUGUGGUCUAGGUUACCAUGACAUCGAGCAUAUUGUUUGGUCGUGUGAGGACCACCUAUUCGCCAGAGCGAACUUUAUAGAUUCCCUUCGGGCCCGAGGAAAACCACCCGACGUUCCAGUGAGGGAUGUAUUAGGUAUGAUGGACUUGGACUAUAUGUUCGAGAUAUACCUUUUCCUAAAAGCUAUCGAUCUUCGAAUAUAAUUCUCUUUAUUUUCAUAUUUCCCUUUCUAUCUUUCUUUUUCUUCAAAAAAAAAAGUGAACUAGAUCUAAGUACACAAUUGUAAUCAAACAAAACGAGUUUGGCUCCUUAAAGCCUAAAGGUAUGAGCCGUUUCAAAUAAAGAAAUUACAAAAAAAAAAAAAACUAUUUUUCGUUUGUGUACAGUAGGUACGACGAAGAGCUCCGAAAUUUUAUUCUUCCCUCACCCCAAGACACUUUUGGAAAAGACUCACCAUGUCCCCUCACAGAAUGCAGAUCCUGGUUAAGUCAUUCGGCAUCAAAGGUUUGUGUCUGGGGAAGAAAACGCCAACACCUUCCAAGUUCAAGCAAACUGAACAGGAAACGGAAAUGAUAAAGUUGCUACGAUCAGCCGGCGAAUCUCGGGAUUAUAAACCUACCGGGUCAGGAAAACUUGAAUCAGAAAGAAGUUUUAUUUUAUAAAUAUUAAGAAAUGCUGUUGAAAAAAUCAAUAAAUGUGUUAACUUCUAUAA